GAGUGGGGCGCGGGCGGCGUCCUUCCACCUGCUGCGGGAGCCGAGUUGGGGGGUACCUGUCUAGGGGUGCUGGCCUUGUGGCCCUGAAGGCCAAGAAAAGGAGGCAAGUCUUGGGAGUCGAUCCGAGGCCAGAGCCACAGGAACAUCUUCAGGCCUCACCCUUGUGCCCUGUCUGAGAACUACAGAAGCGCCCCGCCUGACCUCGCACUGUUCCUUCCGCCACAAACGCCCUCUUGCUUUCCGUCCCAGUUGACCUCAGUUCUUCGUUCCAAGGCCAACUCGGUGCCACCUUCUCCUCUAAACCUCCACCAGCCUGGGAGCAUCUGACCUGUAGUCGUCCUGCAUGGAGACUGCCCUGCUUUGGGCCCUCUCCCAUCAGACUAGGAGUUUGUGACAACAGCCAGGAAGUGGAGGCAGGAUUGCGCAGAAACGACUUGCGAGGACUUUGGAGGUCGAGGCCAAGCUUCAUUCACGCUGGGCUUCACGACCACCGUGCUGCGUGACCUCAGGGAAGGGAAUGGACCUCUCUGUGAUCAGUUUCCUCGUCCGCAGAAGGGAGGAAGAUGGAAAUGCCUCCGUUAGAGUUGUUGGCCAAAUUGAACUGUACAGAAAAUUCCACAGCAUCUACUCAGCCCAGUUUGGUGGCCAGUUCUUCAGCCUUGGCCUUUUCCAGCUUUCCAGUGGCGAUGCAAGCCACCGACUUUGGACCCAGCACGCUGCCUCCCCAGGGACAGGGGAUUGCCUCAUGCCUGUCACUGGACUUGGUCCCGAUGGGUUCCACCGGCUCAGCCAGAGCUCCUUUGUCUCCCAGGCUACCCUGCGUGAAGGCAACAGCGGUGCAGGUCUCCCCGUGGACCCGAUGUCCCAGCCUGGCCUUCCCCUUGAUGAUGCCACGGGGAACCCCCAUCUUACAACACAGGGCAGCCAGGAAGCAACCAGUUGCACGGGAUCCACAUCAUGUGCAGUCACCACCAGCUGAGCCUUCCUGUUUUCCACUAAGGUGGUGACAGUAUUAACCCAGCUCAAAGGACAGGCAGCCUCUUAGCAGGGACAUCCCCUUUGCUGGUAGCUUUCUUCUCAGCCCUGCCCAAGUCUCUUCUCUUGCUUUGUCUCUGGUCUGUAUCUGUGGGUCAGCUUGAGUAGCUGUUUGGCGGGGCAGGCGGGGUGGUCCUAAGGCCUGGGCGAACUGGUUAGUCAUCAGAGGCACUUUUAGACGUUUAUAGAGAACAGCCCUUUGCUGCUGCAACCUGAUGUAACGGGGUCAUUUGACAAAAGGGUGAGGUCCCUUUUGGGCUGGAUGUCCUGUCCAAUGCUAAAAUUCUUGGUCUUUUUCUUACGCAGGGGAUUGACCACUUUCUUGGCCUCCUGCUUCUUCACAACAGGGGCACCUUCUUUCCUUUUGGGAUAUGGGACGGCUGGAGAAGAGAGUGGUUCCCCACCCUUGCUGCCUGGAACCCUCUUUGUUUCUCUGCCUCCCUUCUACCUAGUUACGAUGCUGUGGCCUCAUCACUAGAAAUCACUUCAGUAAUCAUCAACUCCUUAUCAACUCCUAAAUCCUCUUACUUGGGAGAACCCCACCCGUAGUCAAUUUAACUCUACUUAUCUGUCACCUGAGUCUGCUCAGCUUAAUGUGGUGGGAAAAGAAAACAACAACUAGAUCUGUGUAGACUGAUCUCACAUCUAGUUGCUAACUGCGAAUCUUACAUAGGCACUUGCCAAUGCCUAGCAGUCUCAGUAGGUUUCUCCCAUCAGUUUACGCCUCCAUUCUCUGAACACCAUUUCCUACCUUCUCUUACAUCAGAAUUCCGGCCUUCCUCCCGGUUCACCUUCGACCCUUUCUUGAUUCACUGAGAAAUAGAACAGAGCCACCUUACUUUCCACAUCUUCCAACCUGCUUACACUGCAUCCACAUCACGUCCUCGUAAAAUGCAUGGCCCUCCUCCUCUCUUACUAAGGUCAACAACUGCUCCAUCUCUCUUCUCUGCUAGAUCACUCCCGUGUAUAAAAACAACUUUUCCUUGACCCAUCCUCCCCUGCCACUACAACCAGUGCCUCUGCUUUCCUUACAGCAAAACUCUUCAGAAGAGCUCUCGGUGUUUGUGGUUCUCCCUUGCCAUUCUCUCUUUAUCCAGUUCUGGCUUUAUCUCUACAACUCGACAGAUUCGGUUUGUGGGUAAAUCACCAAGGACCACCAUUUUCCCCAAUACAAAACCGAUUUCCAAACAAGUAAAAACAUGAUCAGCAAAAUUGGAAAGUACAAUGAAAUCUUAGUUUCUGGGAAGUAUGAAAGAAAAACUUAUGGCAAAUGUUCCAUCAAACACACUGAAGUAGGGUAACAUCUGCCUAACAAAUUGGCAAAUAGUCUUUUUUUGCGAGAGAGAGAGAGAGAGAGAGAGAGCGAGCACAAACAGGGGAAAGGCAGAGAGAAAAUCCCACCCAAGCAGUGUAUGGGAGUCACACGCAGCGUGGAGCCCGACACAGGGCUCGAUCUCAAGACCGUGAGAUCAUGACCUUAGCCGAAAUCAAGAGUCAAAAUGCUUAACUGACUGAGCCACCCAGGUGCCCCACAAAUAGUCUUAAAAUAUGAAAAUUGUCAUUGAUACAGAAGAUACAGGCAAAUAGGCACUCAUACACUUGAGGGAGGCCUAGGUGAGUCUAUUUAUAGGGAAAUUUGAGGAUAUGUAUUAAAAGCCAGAAAAUGUA